rnacentral:misc_RNA from 1 species
CUCCGCAGCCAAUAAUAAUCCCAGGCAGCAUCGGUUCGUAGAAACGACCGUCAGUCCAUCCCGUACAUUCCGCAGCGAGAAUCGCUCCGAAAUUCAAAGGGAUUUUUCGAUCGAGGGCAGUAGUCUUUUUCGUAACGCUGCAGCUUUUUCUUGGCUCUUCGGGUGUGCGUCGAUCCCCGGUAAAAGUUCGUAAGCCGUCAAAAAGUCUGCACGCGGCCCAUUCGGCAACCCCAUCUGCUGCUGCAACCUUCUCUACAAUUUGAAGACGACCCUCUGGCCCCGUCCCCGCGGCGGUCCUAAGGGAGUCUCUACCCGAUAGCCAUGCCGGCAGGUACGGGCGCUUCGUACAGGUCGUUAGGUGACCUGGGCGAAGACGUCUACAAAAGCACGACCAUUGUGGACCAGACACAGAGCACCGGGCAAAGCGUACUCGAGAGUGUUAAGAAGGCGUUCAGUUUCGCAUCGCCGAAAGUUGAGAUAAGGAAAAAGGAUCCGUUGAUCGAGGAUCGCCGGGAGUGCGUGUCGAUCGUAUCAAGGGAAAGAAACAAGAUGCCGACAGCAGCAAGUGCCGAAGAAUCUGCUCUAUUGGGCACGAUGCCUUCAGACAGCAUGGACGAUAUUGAACUGAAAAACAUCCAGCUCCAGUUCCCGGAACUCCGGUAUCUGACUCGCGACGACAAACCUGUACGCGAGGAGCGGGUCGAAACGGACAAGGGUAGCUUGCUGGUAGCCAUUCACGGGAAUCAGGGAAAACCAGCGAUUUUAACUUACCACGACCUAGGCCUUAACUAUAUCUCGAGCUUCCAGGCAUUUUUCAAUUACAUCGAUAUGCGUGUUCUCCUCGAAAAUUUCUGCGUCUAUCACGUGAACGCACCUGGACAGGAGGAAGGCGCCCCAACAUUGCCAGAGAACUACACUUAUCCGUCCAUGGACGAGCUCGCGGAACAGUUGCAGUUCGUUUUGGGGCAUUUUGGUCUGAAAUCUGUGAUCGGUUUCGGGGUUGGCGCAGGCGCUAAUAUUCUGUCAAGAUUCGCCCUCGCCCAUCCCGAGAAAAUCAACGCGUUGUGCCUAAUAAAUUGCGUCUCGACGCAGGCCGGUUGGAUCGAAUGGGGUUAUCAAAAACUGAACGUGCGCCACCUCCGUUCCCAGGGGAUGACGCAGGGUGUUCUAGAUUACCUGAUGUGGCAUCACUUCGGAAGGGGCACCGAAGAACGUAAUCACGAUCUGGUGCAAGUUUACAAGACCUACUUCGAGCGACGAGUAAACCCAACGAAUCUGGCCCUCCUAAUCGACAGCUACGUUCGUCGCACCGACCUGAACAUCGUACGCGAGUUGGACCCGACCCGUAAGAAGGAAGGACUCACCCUAGGGGUUCCAGUUAUAAAUAUUACCGGUUCGUUGAGCCCUCACGUCGACGACACCGUUACGCUAAACGGUCGCCUCGAUCCGACCAACAGCUCCUGGAUGAAGAUUUCGGACUGCGGAAUGGUGCUCGAAGAACAACCGGGAAAAGUCAGCGAAGCCUUCCGACUGUUCCUUCAGGGCGAGGGAUACGUGGUGAAAGCCCCGCGGCAGCUCACGACGUCCUCAUCACUCGAAGGUAAUUGUAAUUAGGAAUUGAGACAACGAGGAGACAAGUGUACCGCCGAUCAAUUAGGCCCCCGUCUAAACGUUAAUUGCUCCUCUUUCGCCCACGAAGAUCGCCGACUAUCGCUUAGCGUCACUGUACCUGGAAAUCUGCAAU